GAAAGCCCCGACGGCGCGGGAUGGGGUCGCGGCCCAUUAGGUAGUAGGCGGGGUAGAGGCCCACCUAGCCGACGAUGGGCAGCCGGACUGAGAGGUCGAUCGGCCACAUUGGGACUGAGAUACGGCCCAGACUCCUACGGGAGGCAGCAGUGGGGAAUUUUGCGCAAUGGGGGGAACCCUGACGCAGCAACGCCGCGUGCGGGACGAAGGCCCUCGGGUCGUAAACCGCUUUCAGCAGGGAAGACCACGACGGUACCUGCAGAAGAAGCUCCGGCUAACUACGUGCCAGCAGCCGCGGUAAUACGUAGGGGGCGAGCGUUAUCCGGAUUCAUUGGGCGUAAAGCGCGCGUAGGCGGCCGCCUAAGCGGGACCUCUAACCCCGGGGCUCAACCUCGGGCCGGGUUCCGGACUGGGCGGCUCGAGUGCGGUAGAGGAGAGCGGAAUUCCCGGUGUAGCGGUGGAAUGCGCAGAUAUCGGGAAGAACACCGAUGGCGAAGGCAGCUCUCUGGGCCGUCACUGACGCUGAGGCGCGAAAGCUGGGGGAGCGAACAGGAUUAGAUACCCUGGUAGUCCCAGCCGUAAACGAUGGAUACUAGGUGUGGGGGGAUCCCCCCUCC
rnacentral:rRNA from 1 species